AUAAAACAGAUUCGGAAAUCACCUUUAAGUUCAUUUACUCGAGGUUGUGUUCAUUUCACUCUGUCCGUCUUGGGUCCUCAAUGAAGAACCACUGCAAUUAGCUUGAAUCGAAAAUGGAUAAAAAAAGACUUGUCAAAAACUACAAUCAAAAUUUCAACACUGAGGGUAAUUUCCUGAUGGGAUAGUCGAAWACAACCYCAUUUCCUUAUAUGGGCAAUGCAUCACGUGAUAACGUGUUGCACGACGUAGUCAAACGGCGCUUUCGUUUUACUGCGAAAGAAGCAGAACAGAAAAUAAAAAGACCAUUAUUAAUUAUUUGACGUUAUGGGGUUAUUAUAGGACAAUAUAACAUUUGAUUAAGUUUGCAUGUUUGAGACUACUAUUCGAGCAGARUUAAGGUAAAUAACAUUCUGUUCACAGAGCGCAGGUAUGAGUAUAACUUUCUUGCUUGCUCUGCAGUACAAUAUUGGGGAUGUUGCUCUCGAGUGAAUCAUGGACGGCUAUUCAUUAAAAACUCUAUCUUUAUUUCAUGUAGAUGUUAGCAAUGAAAAGGCAAUAGGGAAAUGGGAUAAAACUAUUGUAUGAUGUAGUUAGUAAAUAAUGGUUGCAUAGUACACUGAUAAUACUCU